rnacentral:rRNA from 1 species
AUGGAGGCUUCACGCAGGCUCCUCUCGGCGGCGCUCCUCCUCGUGCUGCUGCUCGCCGCCACAGGGGAGCUGGGAGGCCCGGUGAUGGUGGCGGAGGCGCGGACGUGUGAGUCGAGGAGCCACAGGUUCAGGGGACCCUGCGUGCGCAGGUCCAACUGCGCCAACGUCUGCAGGACCGAGGGCUUCUCCGACGGCAAGUGCCGCGGGUUCCGCCGCCGCUGCUUCUGCACCACCCACUGCCACCAUUAA